UGUGACUUCAAGACCAGCCUGGGAUACAAAGUGUGCUCAAGGCCAGCCUGAACUGCACGGCGAGACCCUGUCUCAAAAAGUCAAAAAAGACAGAAAAAAGGAAGCUCAGGUUCUUCUUUCCAUACAAAAGCUGCCUCUUCAGAGCUCAGCAGAGGCUCCCCUAUCAGUCUUCUGAAUUACACCUGAUGAUGAAGCAGACAUCUCAGGAUGAGCAGGCAGAGCCCAGUGACUCUUUAUGAGCUGGCUAAGCAGAGCCUGCUGAAGAGUGACACCAUAGCCAGCACUUCUCUGCAUGACCUGCCCACCAUGAUCUUCCAUGACUUAUUCAUCGAUGCCUUCAUGGGGGAACACAAUGAGGUGAUGAAGGUGAUGGUGCAGGCCUGGCCAUUCCCCUACCUCCCUUUUAGGAGCCUGAUGGAUUUGAGGAAACCAAAGACCCCAUACAUUCAGUAUGGAAAAAUCACACCAGACAUAAAAAACCUAGAGACCCUGGAAGCCCUAUUGGAUGGAAUUGACAUACAGCUGUCCCAGAAGGUUCACCACAACAGGUGGAAGCUGCAGGUGCUGGACUGGAGGGAUGUACACCACGACUUCUGGACUGCAGGGCCCAGAGCCAUGUGUACUGCUCACUCAGCAGAUGCCAGGAAUAAGGAAACAGAAAAGCUUAGUUUAACUGACAAGAAGCCAACCUUGAAAAUAUUUGCAAACCUUUCUUUUGAAGCCUGGAGUUCCUCUUGUGCCACAGAGGACAAAUUACAACUCUGCCUCUUAAACUGGGUCAGAAAGAGAAAAGCUUCAGUACACCUGUACUGUGAGAAGGUGAUGAUUCAAUCCAGUGCUGUCACUACAAUCCUGAAGCUUCUGCAAGCUGUGCAACUGGAAUCUGUCCACGUGCUGGAUGUGUUUAGUGCCUGGAGCCGGGAAAGCAUGAAAGCAUUUGUCCCUUACCUCAAGAAGAUGAAUAACCUUCACACAUUUCAUUUCAGCAGCCUGAGUCCAAAAUUGUUUAGUGAACCCGGGAAAAACAAAUGGUAUUCCAACAUCUAUGCCUUUCAUUUAGGACAGCUGCAAAGUCUCCAGGAGCUUCAUAUAGAUGAUGUCUUUUUCUUGCAUGGAACCCUGCAUAUGAUCUUCAGGAGCCAGACCCCCUUGGAGGUCCUCUCCUUGAGUUCAAGUCCACUGAAGGAAUCUGACCUGAAGCAUCUGUCCCAAUGUGCAAGCACAAGCCAGCUCAAGUCUCUGACUCUGAGGAGGAUUUCAAUGAAACCAUUCAAUCCUGAGAUUCUCCAGGCUCUGAUAGACAAAGUGGCCAGCACCCUGGAGACCCUGGUCCUAGAGCACUGUGACAUCACGGACUCCCAUCUCCUUGCCAUCUUGCCUGCCCUGAGCCGCUGCACUGGGCUCAAGACUUUCAGUUGCUAUGGGAACCACUUUUCCCUGGGUAUUCUUCAGGUCCUGCUGCAUCUAACUGCCGGACUGAGCCAGUUGUCUCAGGGGCUGUACCCUGCCCCACUAGAGAGCUAUGAGUCCAAUAUUCCAACAGAGUUUGUGCACCCUGAGCAGUUUGGGUGUCACACCAAGACCUAUACAGCCAAUUUCCUGGAAGAAGCCCAGGGUUCUGGAAUAUAAUUCCUAGUGCAUGACUCCACCCUUGUCACCAUGCAGACUUGUCACACUCGACUCUUGGACACUGGGAUCCCUGUGCCCAAUAACACUUCUCCCACAGCAGCCCCACUGCUUUGUAGGCUUGGAUGCAAAGUCGUUGGACAAUACAGCCACUACAUGGGAAAAUAAAAUUCCAGUGGUUAAAAUAUUUAGAAUGCACCUAAACCUUUUUUUUUUCAGUGCUGGGGAUGAAACCCAGCAACUUGGGCAAGUGCUCUACCACUAAACAACUACUCAGCCCCCAUUUGUGUUUGCAUUUUGUGAAUGCUAAAUGUGUUUCUGUUCUCUCUUUUGGGACCAGCCUGCGAAGGGACACUGGACAGUGCCUAGGAAUUGGGUCUGGCCAGGCUGGCACCCACAAGCUUUGCAGGGAGAUGAGGGAUUGCAGGAAUACUGAGCGUCCAGAGGAGGAAGAGGCAGUGUAAUCUCUCUUCCAUCAUAUAUAACUGUCCUCCUGCAGUCCAGCCAGCCCGCACCCUCAUGGCUCUGCCACUCAGCCCUGUUCCCUCUCCCUGGGACCCAGCAGAGCGUGGGGCUGAGGUGGCUGGGGAGUGGGCCUGGGCCCCUUUGUACUAUGGAGCUGGACCCUCCACCUCUCUGAGCCCCAUUCUCCACCUUUUAUCCUCCAUCUAGUCCUCUGAAUUUUCCCCCUCUCUCUGUUGAGGCUGUGAGUGGGAAGAAGGAAUUGGACUGACUAGGACUGAAGUCAAGCCCACUUGUUGCCUAUGUGAUUUUGGG
rnacentral:lncRNA from 1 species